CCUCCCCAUGGCCCAGCAUAUGUGAUAGCUCCUACCUUCUGGAGAAUGGCUCUAGCUCAGGAGAGGAUAGAGCUUCUUCAUCUCCUCCAUACAAAGGGGCCCUCCUGCCAACUUGAAGAACUUGAGGCUGAGGUGAGAACAGGGAUAGAAGAAGAUUCUGAAGCUGUAGCUGAAAAGGAGGCAGUGAAAGGAGCCUAGUUAGUGCCAGCCUCUGGGCCAAGAGGUGAGACACUGCGGUCAGGGUUGGAAGAAUCCAAGCAAACCGAAGAAAUUUGCUGGAGGACAGGGUAUCUUGGUUUGAGGAAAUUUUACAAUCUGAGUAAAAGAUGAGUUUCAUUUAUGAGACUCCCAAUCACGCUGCUAUGGCCAAGUGUAACAGUGUGAGAGAUAAAUUGCCUGGCUUCCUUUUCCCUGACAUCACCUUGAAGUGUAAUUGGGUGUAUUAAAGAGCCCUUAUAAAUUCCCAGAUUUCACUUUUUGAGCCUUCACAAGGGUCUGUCCUUAUCACCCUUUCUCUCAAGUACUAGCAUUUAAGAUUAAAAAAAUAAACACUUUGGUUUAAUAUUUUUGUGUUUUGCUGAAUAGAUACUAUAUUCAGAGCCUAAAAUAUUUUUAUUACUGUGUGGUUUUAUUGCGUGGGGAUAUGUAUAAGUAUGUGCGUGUAUAUGAGUAUUUCAGCUAUAUUAUGUUUCAUUUAGGGCUUUACAGACGACCCUGGAAACCUUUAAUACUGUUUCCAUGGGAGAUGUGUUUAUCCUGCAGCCUUCAAAUGUUUAUCUGGUGUGACUGUAUUAUGCCCUCAGAGAGUACUGUAUGUUGCCCAGGCUGUCCUCGAACUCUAGGCUCAAGUGAUUCUUCUGCCUCAGCCUCCCAAGUAGCUGGGACUACAGAUGCAAUCACCACCACACUUGGCAGUGUGCCGGUCCAACAAAAGCCCUUGGGUCUGUUUGACUUGUUCAAGUGUCCACUGUGGAAGGUAUGUGAAUGGCCAUGCAAAAAAACAUUAUGAAGAUGCACAAGUACCCUUAACCAACCAUAAGAAAUCAGAAAAGCAAGAUAAAGCUCAGCACACAGUAUGCAUGGAUUGCAGUAGCUACAGUACAUACUGUUAUCGCUGUGAUGAUUUUGUGGUCAAUGACACCAAGCUGGGACUGGUACAGAAAGUCAGAGAACACUUACAGAACUUGGAAAACUCAGCUUUCACAGCUGAUAGGCAUAGGAAAAGAAAACUUUUGGAAAACUCCACACUAAACAGCAAGUUAUUAAAAGUAAAUGGAAGCACCACUGCCAUUUGUGCCACAGGCCUUCGGAAUUUGGGGAACACGUGUUUCAUGAACGCCAUCCUUCAGUCACUCAGUAACAUUGAGCAGUUUUGCUGUUAUUUCAAAGAACUGCCCGCUGUGGAGUUAAGGAAUGGGAAAACAGCAGGAAGGCGGACAUACCACACCAGGAGCCAAGGGGAUAACAAUGUGUCUUUGGUAGAAGAGUUUAGAAAGACACUCUGUGCUUUAUGGCAAGGCAGCCAGACUGCAUUUAGCCCAGAGUCCUUAUUUUAUGUUGUUUGGAAGAUUAUGCCAAACUUUAGGGGCUAUCAACAGCAAGACGCCCAUGAAUUCAUGCGCUACCUUUUGGACCACCUACACUUGGAACUCCAGGGCGGUUUCAAUGGUGUUUCCCGCUCAGCAAUUCUGCAGGAGAAUUCUACUCUAUCUGCAAGUAACAAGUGUUGCAUAAAUGGAGCAUCUACUGUUGUCACGGCUAUAUUCGGAGGCAUUCUCCAAAAUGAGGUUAACUGCCUCAUAUGUGGGACAGAAUCUAGAAAGUUUGAUCCAUUCCUAGACCUUUCAUUAGAUAUUCCAAGUCAGUUCAGAAGUAAGCGCUCUAAGAAUCAAGAAAAUGGACCAGUUUGUUCAUUACGAGAUUGUCUUCGCAGUUUUACUGACUUAGAAGAACUUGAUGAGACAGAGUUAUAUAUGUGCCAUAAAUGCAAAAAGAAACAAAAGUCCACAAAAAAGUUUUGGAUUCAAAAACUACCCAAGGUGCUAUGCUUACAUUUGAAAAGAUUUCACUGGACAGCAUAUUUAAGAAAUAAAGUUGAUACAUAUGUAGAAUUUCCAUUGAGAGGCCUAGACAUGAAAUGCUACUUACUAGAGCCUGAGAACAGUGGCCCGGAGAGCUGCCUGUAUGACCUCGCCGCUGUGGUGGUGCACCAUGGUUCCGGGGUUGGUUCUGGACAUUACACAGCAUACGCAACUCACGAAGGCCGCUGGUUCCACUUCAAUGACAGUACUGUAACACUGACUGACGAGGAGACUGUGGUGAAGGCAAAGGCCUACAUCCUUUUCUACGUGGAACGCCAGGCCAAAGCUGGAUCAGAUAAACUUUAAUACCUCCUCCAAAUCAUCAUUCAUCAACCAUACCAGAGAAACAUUUCCAGUUUUCCACAAAUACUUGAUCCAAGAUUUAAUUUCAUUAUGCACUUUUCAAUUUCCUAUUUUGGGUUUAGUUUUGUCAAUGGUAGUGAGUUACUGAACAUGGGCACCAACUAAUUUUGUUGUUGUUCUACCAGAAAACCUCAGCAGACAUUUUGAUUUGCUGCUUUAGUUGUAAUAAUUCAAUUUUUAUAUGUAGUUUUAAGAACUUAGUCUUAUUUGACUUUUUUAUUUUAUGUUAAUGUUUUCAGUUCUCACUAUGAGGCACAUUUACAUCAAUGCUUUUGUUCCUCUCACAUGCUGAAAGCAAGAUAUGUUCCUUAUUGUGAAGAGUGACACAACUGCCUGCUGUCUUUUCACAGCUGUAAUGGAGAUCAGGUUGUCUCUAAAUCAAGGAUCAUGUGUGCACACAACUUGUGGCCCACAAAAUUUCACAGUGACUGCUGAGUAAUCAUUCUUUUUGCCUGUAAAAGAUAACAAAGGGCAUCAUUAAGUAGACCAGGGCUUUUCCCGUGUGCCAUGUUGUCUCCAGCAAUAUAUGUGGCUUCUCGCUCAGAGCUUCUGCUGAGGCAGGGCCUCGCACUGAGUCACAUGGCUCCUUGGAACAAGAAAACUUUCUCAGAAGUCCUCCCACACAGCCCCUGAACUCUCUCCUGUACCCUCUGUUGCUGAAGUGGCCUCUUCACUUGGGCCCUGGAAAAGCCCAUGGAAAAAGUCCGUUCCUGCAGCCAAGGCCUGGGGCCCAGGUGACUAGGAGUAGCCAUAGGCAGGCGAGGAAAAAGUGGGCAUGUGCUGUCGUCUGUAGUCCAAGGUCUCUGCGUCUCGUCAGUGGGUGCAAUGCCUUCCCCCUCAGGUGUGAGCGUGAUGGACUCUAGACUGCCUUCCAUGAGCGUUGGUCAUGCUGUGAUGUCAUCAUUUUCCAUUAAAACCCAGUGUGUAUGAUGCCAAGAAGAUUAAUUGUGCAAGUGACUGAUUCAUUUAAAUUGUAAUCACAUCCCUUUUCUGCUUCACCAACCUGAACUGUUUUAAAAAGUAUCAUUAAAAGUCUGUUCUCUUUC